GGCUUAAUGUUGUCUGGUUGAAUUGGAUUUUGGAAAUUACUGAUGCAAACACGUUAAAUAGCUUAUUCUCUCUUAUUAUUUUUUUUACCGGUGGCUGCGUUUGGUGGAUGGAAAGCCUGGCCUAAACAAGAUGAUGCUGGAUAUGCUCGAGAGAAGAUGCCAGGGAGACAAGGCUAAAUAUGGAUGUGUUUCACUCAUGUUGGAUGCCAUGUCCAUCAGAAAACAUGUUUAAUAUAAUCCACAUAGCCAGUCAAUGUCUGGUUUUGUAGACAUGGGUGAUGGAAACAGUGAGACCGAUGUUGCUACUGAGGCUCUUGUUUUCAUGGUAGUUGGCCUACAAGGACAUUGGAAGGCUCCCAUUGCUUACUUCCUGACCAAGUCUCUCUCUCCAGAAACGCAAAUGGUACUUCUCAGUCAUACUUUGGAGGAGCUCCAUGCACGGGGAAUUCGAGUGGUAUGUGUGACAAUGGAUGGGCAUGCCUCCAAUGUCAGUAUGUGCAACCAACUUGGGUGUGAGCUGAAGGGAGACCCACGAGAGCCGCUUCAAACCAGCUUCCCGCAUCCGGUGACUGGCGAGAGGGUAUUUGUAAUGAUGGACGCUUGCCACAUGCUCAAGUUGGCACGUAAUAUGUUGCAGGCAUACAGUCCAAUUGCAACGACCACCGGACAGAUCAACUGGAGAUUAUUAACAGGCUGUUCGAUACAAUGAAUGGACGCAAUCCUCGUGCCAAAGGAUUCAAAGCUCCCUUGGGUGCUUCGAAUUGGAUAGAGGAAAGCAUGGUUAGCUUGGUUAGAGAUGCUGUACCAGCUUCUUACCACCUUCUAGCCCUGAAAAACCACGGCGGCCUAGUAAUUCCAUCACAAGGCACAGUAAAGGUUUGAUUUAUCUUAUUUUUUUAAAAUAUUUUAAUCUUUGUAUAUUAUUGUUUUGUCUGUUAUGUAAAGGGUCUUUCAGCACUGUGUAAAGUGCUAUAUAGAUAUGUAUUAUUUUAAAAAAAUGUUUCAUUAUUAUUAUAAGGUUGUGUCUGUGUUUCUCAAGCUAAGGCUGCACCACAUUGCCAAACUCACCACUCUGGAACUGCAAAAAGGAAACAUGAGAAAGAAGCUCUGCAAGACAGUCCUAUUCCAGGGGUUUUAGUGUG